CUUCUGUUUCUGGAACAUCUUCUCCAAAGCUUUGCGUUGCACGUCGGAGAACACCGCCCUCCUCAGCAUCCCCCGGCGGGGCUUCCCUCGGGCGGCCAGGGGCCACGAGAAGGUUCCCGGCAUGGGCACGGCGGACGAAGACGCUGCGGGAAGACACCAACAACACGUUGCCUUGAUAUAGGUCUGCGAUCUACGGGCUGAUGGUCUACAGCGAUCUUUGUGGAAGCAGAACAUGUGCUUCAGCUCUUUUACUGCAGGCUUUCAUGGGUGUACCUGAUUGGCAGGCCUUCAAUGGAGCUGCUGUGACCUCCCCACCAACACCACCUCCUUUCUGCUCCAUCCACCCUUCUAUCUGCUGCCACCUCAUCCGCCGCCAGCAUCCCC